UACAGAGGGGGCAAGCGUUAUUCGGAAUUAUUGGGCGUAAAGGGCGCGUAGGCGGCCUGGCAAGUGGAAGGUGAAAUCCCUCGGCUUAACCGAGGAACUGCCCUCCAAACUGCUUGGCUUGAGUCCGGGAGAGGUGAGUGGAAUUCCCAGUGUAGCGGUGAAAUGCGUAGAUAUUGGGAGGAACACCAGUGGCGAAGGCGGCUCACUGGACCGGAACUGACGCUGAGGCGCAAAAGCGUGGGGAGCAAACGGG
rnacentral:rRNA from 1 species